ACUAUCCUGUCGUAAAAUUAACCUGGGUAGUACUAGUUAACCUUGAAACCCAAAGAAUUUGGCGGCGACUCGCCUCCUUAGAGGAUUCUGCCCCAUAAUUUGACGACCCACGAUAAACCCUACGCCACCCCAAAGCUUGUAUACCGCCGUGUAGGACCUAUUUUAAAAUAUGUUCUUAAUAGAAUUAUCUAAAAUCUCAGGUCAAGGUGCAGCCUAUGAUGGUGAGGAGGUGGAAUACAUUAGCCAAAGCUGUGAAUGUUUAGAAGAAUAUUAAACUGCAACUGGAUUUAAAAGUAAGGCUGACCAUAUAUUAGCCUGAACGAGUUC
rnacentral:rRNA from 1 species